rnacentral:rRNA from 1 species
UACGAAGGGGGCGAGCGUUGUUCGGAAUUACUGGGCGUAAAGGGUGCGUAGGCGGGUUAUUAAGUCAGUGGUGAAAGCCUACAGCUUAACUGUAGAAUUGCCAUUGAUACUGAUGAUCUUGAGUAUGAUUGAGGUGGGCGGAAUGUGUCAUGUAGCGGUGAAAUGCUUAGAUAUGACACAGAACACCGAUUGCGAAGGCAGCUCACUAAGUCAUAACUGACGCUGAUGCACGAAAGCGUGGGGAGCAAACAGG